UACAUGGGGUGCAAACGUUGCUCGGAAUCAUUGGGCGUAAAGCGCGUGUAGGCGGCCACACAGGUCCGCUGUGAAAACUCGAGGCUCAACCUCGAGCUGUCGGUGGAAACCGUGUGGCUAGAGUCCGGAAGAGGAGACUGGAAUUCCCGGUGUAGCGGUGGAAUGCGCAGAUAUCGGGAGGAACACCCGUGGCGAAGGCGGGUCUCUGGGACGGUACUGACGCUGAGACGCGAAAGCGUGGGGAGCGAACAGG
rnacentral:rRNA from 1 species